GACGAACGCUGGCGGCGUGCUUAACACAUGCAAGUCGAGCGAUGAAGCUCCUUCGGGAGUGGAUUAGCGGCGGACGGGUGAGUAACACGUGGGUAACCUGCCUCAUAGAGGGGAAUAGCCUUCCGAAAGGAAGAUUAAUACCGCAUAAGAUUGUAGUUCCGCAUGGAACAGCAAUUAAAGGAGUAAUCCGCUAUGAGAUGGACCCGCGUCGCAUUAGCUAGUCGGUGAGGUAACGGCUCACCAAGGCGACGAUGCGUAGCCGACCCGAGAGGGUGAUCGGCCACAUUGGGACUGAGACACGGCCCAGACUCCUACGGGAGGCAGCAGUGGGGAAUAUUGCACAAUGGGGGAAACCCUGAUGCAGCAACGCCGCGUGAGUGAUGACGGUCUUCGGAUUGUAAAACUCUGUCUUCAGGGACGAUAAUGACGGUACCUGAGGAGGAAGCCACGGCUAACUACGUGCCAGCCGCCGCCGUAA
rnacentral:rRNA from 1 species